rnacentral:rRNA from 1 species
UGGGGAAUAUUGCACAAUGGGGGGAAACCCUGAUGCAGCGACGCCGCGUGGGUGAAGAAGUUUUUCGGAAUGUAAAGCCCUAUCAGCAGGGAAGAUAAUGACGGUACCUGACUAAGAAGCCCCGGCUAACUACGUGCCAGCAGCCGCGGUAAUACGUAGGGGGCAAGCGUUAUCCGGAUUUACUGGGUGUAAAGGGAGCGUAGACGGAACAGCAAGUCUGAAGUGAAAUGUAGGGGCUCAACCCCUGAACUGCUUUGGAAACUGUUGAUCUUGAGUACCGGAGGGGCAGGCGGAAUUCCUGGUGUAGCGGUGAAAUGCGUAGAUAUCAGGAAGAGCACCGGUGGCGAAGGCGGCCUGCUGGACGGUAACUGACGUUGAGGCUCGAAAGCGUGGGGAGCAAACAGGAUUAGAUACCCUGGUAGUCCCUGGACUGCCCAAGGCAC